CCACGUCAUGCCUACUAUUAAUCCAGCUACAUAUUGGCUUAAGGAAAGCCAUUUACUACUUUUAUUUCAUGCAUGGAGAUAGAAGACCCACAGGUAGUGCACUUCUUUUCCCGGAGAAGAAGUAGACGAUAUUUGGAGAAUAAGUAUUGGCUAACUCUGUGCUAAUAAUUGCGGUAAUACAGAGAAUGCAAGCAUUCUUCGGAAUGAUUGAGCGUAGAGCGUCCGUAGGGCCCUACAGUCGCCUCCACACAGCAAACAAGGGCGGAGCUAGAGCUUCAGUAACGGGAAAUCAAUCAGAGAAGAUCAAGGAAUCAAGGAGCUACUACGAGAUUGCUCAAGUCAAUCUGGAUGCUUAAGGAAACAAAUCAAUUAGCAAAGAUUACAAAUCGAUCAGCAAAGAUCAUGGACAACUGCGAUGGAAAGAAUCUCUAAACUUAAGGCAACAAUCAAGGCCAGCACAUUCAAUCCGGAUUCUGAAAGAAGAUUAGCUGAGCUGCCAAUUGUGGAAGGACCAACAAUCAAGGAGUAAACCCUCAUCAUCAACAGCUGUAGAAGGAAAGCGAUCAAUUUGCGAUCAAUCUUCUCUCAUCAAGGAAGAGCAACGGCUAGCAAUCUUAUUCUUGGAAAGAAUCAUUCUCUUUCCAAGGAUCAAAUCUCUUGUGUUGUUAAAUCUCGUCAGCAAAAGGACUUCACCAAAAUAUUUGUACUCAGCAUCCAGCCUUAGACAGACAUACUUCGAUCGAACCAAAAAUCCUCUCUUUAUUCUACUGCAAACAAACAUUGUAGUUCUUUGAGACCUGCUGUGUAACAAGUCAGAGAAAGAGGAGAGUAUAACACUGGUGAGGCAUUGCAUCAAAAGAGACGAGUGUUAUAGGAACUGAGCUAUCACGUCAAUUCCAUUGUACUCAAAGAAACGCAUUUACUAAAGAUAACUCUCUUGCAACCCAA